rnacentral:rRNA from 1 species
GUGGGGAAUAUUGGACAAUGGGCGAAAGCCUGAUCCAGCCAUGCCGCGUGUGUGAAGAAGGUCUUCGGAUUGUAAAGCACUUUAAGUUGGGAGGAAGGGCAGUAAGUUAAUACCUUGCUGUUUUGACGUUACCGACAGAAUAAGCACCGGCUAACUUCGUGCCAGCAGCCGCGGUAAUACGAAGGGUGCAAGCGUUAAUCGGAAUUACUGUGCGUAAAGCGCGCGUAGGUGGUUUUGUAAGUUGGAGGUGAAAUCCCCGGGCUCAACCUGGGAACUGCCUCCAAAACUGCAUGACUAGAGUACGGUAGAGGGUAGUGGAAUUUCCUGUGUAGCGGUGAAAUGCGUAGAUAUAGGAAGGAACACCAGUGGCGAAGGCGACUACCUGGACUGAUACUGACACUGAGGUGCGAAAGCGUGGGGAGCAAACAGGAUUAGAUACCCGAGUAGUCC